rnacentral:rRNA from 1 species
CCUACGGGAGGCAGCAGUGAGGAAUAUUGGUCAAUGGGCGCGAGCCUGAACCAGCCAAGUCGCGUGAGGGAAGACGGUCCUAUGGAUUGUAAACCUCUUUUGUCGGGGAGCAAAAGACGCCACGUGUGGCGUUCCGAGAGUACCCGAAGAAAAAGCAUCGGCUAACUCCGUGCCAGCAGCCGCGGUAAUACGGAGGAUGCGAGCGUUAUCCGGAUUUAUUGGGUUUAAAGGGUGCGCAGGCGGAAGAUCAAGUCAGCGGUAAAAUUGAGGGGCUCAACCUCGUCGAGCCGUUGAAACUGGUUGUCUUGAGUGAGCGAGAAGUAUGCGGAAUGCGUGGUGUAGCGGUGAAAUGCAUAGAUAUCACGCAGAACUCCGAUUGCGAAGGCAGCAUACCGGCGCUCAACUGACGCUCAUGCACGAAAGUGUGGGUAUCGAACAGGAUUAGAUACCCGAGUAGUC